rnacentral:rRNA from 1 species
CCAACGGUAUAAGAUGAGCAUGCCGUCCAUUAGCUAGUUGGUGUGGUAACGGCACACCAAGGCGACGAGUGGGUAGGGGUCCUGAGAGGGAGAUCCCCCACACUGGUACUGAGACACGGACCAGACUCCUACGGGAGGCAGCAGUGAGGAAUAUUGGUCAAUGGGCGCAAGCCUGAACCAGCCAUGCCGCGUGCAGGAUGACGGUCCUAUGGAUUGUAAACUGCUUUUGUACAGGAAGAAACACUCCCUCGUGAGGGAGCUUGACGGUACUGUAAGAAUAAGGAUCGGCUAACUCCGUG